UUGAUAGUCUAAAAGGAUGAUUGUGCCUAUUAUAUUUCAUCUAUCUGUUCUCUCACCAGGCUCAUCUUCCAGACUGAACCUUACUUUUGAUGAUUGCUACCUGCAGAAUUUUGACCAACUCAUUUAACUUUCUGGAUCCUAAAUCUUGGUCUCUUUCCUCAUCUGUAAAAUUGGAGACAAGACAUGGCCAAGAAAGCAACAAAGUCUGACAUUCAGAGAUGAAUGGGCCUGUAUCUUUGGGCUGAACCAAGAAGAGGCACACCACACCAGAUUGGGCUGAACAAGCUCCUCUCUCCUCCAACACCAGGAAGGAAGGCCAGUCCGGCAGGAAGGAAGCGCUAAUCACAAGACCCAACUGCCACUCUCAGUUGCCCCUUCCCCCACAAACUGUCAGUCUUAUUUCCUUUCCACAUUUGCUUAUGAGAAUGAUUAUUCAUUGAAUGGAAGAAAGGAUGGACAGAUCAAUUGAUACAAUGAAGGCACUCAGAGAAAGGCCACAGGUCACAGUCCUGGGUCUUGAUCCCAGUGUAAGAAGGAACACUAGCACACACCAGUGCCUGGGAGGAUGGGACCCUGAUCAUAGUUCCAAGGAAGAAAAGAGUGGAUGCUCAUAGACCAAAAGCAGACCAAGAGAAUAUUAAACAUAUGUCCCCUUGCAUCAUACCAUAUUGAAACAAUCUUAUAGAUCCCCAGAGGAAAUUAUGCCUUAAAAUAAUAAUUGGACAAAUGGAAGCUAAUGACUCCAUGAGACAUCAAGAAACAAUCAAUCAGAGUCAAAAGAAUGAAAAAAAAAAUACAUGAAAGUACAAAAUACGUAAUUGACAAAACAAAUGACAUGGAAAAUAAGUCAGGAGAGAGAAUGUAAGAAUUGUUGGACUACCUUGGAAACCAUUUUCAAAAAAAAUGACUAGACAUCAUCUUUCAAGAAAUUAUCAAGGAAAACUUCCUUGACAUUCUAGAACCAGAAGAUAAAAUAGAAAUGGAAAGCACCCAUCAAUCACCUCUUCAAAGAGAUUCUAAAAGUAUACUGCCCAGAAAUAUUAUAGCUAAAUUCCCAAAUUCUCAAGUCAAGAAUAAAAUACUAAAGCAGCCAAAAAGAAAUUCA
rnacentral:lncRNA from 1 species